CAGUAGCCACGGGAAUACGAAGGUCCCGAGCGUUGUUCGGAAUUACUGGGCGUAAAGCGCACGCAGGCGGUUUGUUAAGUCAGAUGUGAAAUCCCCGAGCUUAACUUGGGAACUGCAUUUGAAACUGGCAAGCUAGAGUCUUGUAGAGGGGGGUAGAAUUCCAGGUGUAGCGGUGAAAUGCGUAGAGAUCUGGAGGAAUACCGGUGGCGAAGGCGGCCCCCUGGACAAAGACUGACGCUCAGGUGCGAAAGCGUGGGGAGCAAACAGGAUUAGAUACCCGCGUAGUCCCUGUCUCUUAUAC
rnacentral:rRNA from 1 species